rnacentral:lncRNA from 1 species
UUUUUUUUUUUUUUUUUUUUUUUAUCACUGUAGCCAACACAAUUUUGAUUGUUUUUGCCACUACAUAUUUGGGGAAGGGGAAAAGAAAGAAAGAACAUUUACUCUCUCUUCCAAGAGAUUAACAUAAUAUGUGUGUGUGGCAGGGGAGGGGGCUGGGUGGGAAGAUGACAGGGGAAAGGAUUAAAAAUUUACCACCCUUAGAAGCAAAAUGGUUCUCAAAUAUUAAAAUGCAAAUGAAUCUGCAGGGAAAAUUUUAAAAUUUCAAGUCACUAGGCUCUCCCUAAAAGAUUCUGAUUCAAUAACUGUGGGGUAAGGUUCAAAAAGUGGAUUUUUAACAAGCAACAACAGUAAUUCUACUACAGACAGUUCAUACCUGUGUUGUCCAAUAUGGUAGCCAUUAAGCUUAUAAAAUGCAACUAGUCUAAAAUGACAUGUAUUAAAUGUAAAAUAAUACACACUGAAUUUCAAAGAUUCAGUAUGAAAACCAGGAUAUGAAAUAUCUUAUUACUUAUUUUGAUUAUAUGUUAAAAUUCUAAUGUUUUAGAUAUAUUAACUGUAAGAAAAUAUAUUACUAAAAUUAAUCUCAUGUCUAUCUUUUUUAGUGUGGGUACUAUACAAUUUUAAAUUAUAUGUGUAACUUACAUUGGUAUUUCUAUUGGACAUUAUAUUUCUAUGUGGACUUAUCUUUCUUUUGGGCAACAUUAGUUGACACUCUCAUUCCCAGGCAAAGGUAGUAAAAUAAUUCUAAAUUAAAACCAGGACCAAGUGCAUAUAAAAAAAAUUUUAGUACAUAAGAUUUCUUUGAAUAUUUUUAGAAAUCUGAUAAAGAUAUAUGCAUCAACUAAACUGCCACAUCAAUAAAUACAUCAAAUUUAUAUUUUUUAGUGAAACAAACAAACAAAGCAUUAACUAACUAUCCUUAAGCAGCAUUCAAUGAUUAUCAAAUCCCAUGUGUGGCUGGUUUUUGCAUUCAGUUAUGAACUUCCUUGGUGCAUAAUAUAUGUAUGUUUGUAUAUUUGUAUAUAUGGACACUGUUUAUACAGCCUAUCACUAAGUAUGACUUUUCAUUUUGUGCCUCAUUCACAAAAUAAUAGAAACAUUUAGCAAGAAAUCUGUUAAAUAUAAUCUAAUACUAUUGAAACUGGCAAUAACUAUAUGAGAUAAAUCGAUUUGUAUGGGUAGGUGGGAACAUAAUCACCUUUAUUAAUAUUUUCUCUAUUGACCAAUGUAUUAUCAAUUCCAAAGAGCUGACAUAAAUUAAAGUAUCUGAAAUCAACAUGUUAUGAAUUACUACCAAUACUCCUAAACUAUCCAUUAUCAUUCUACUAAAAUGAGGUCCAUACACUUAGUUUCAUAGAAUUUUAUAUGUUUGAAUGAUGAUAAGUGAAUUUAAAUCUUGACUUUUCUGACUUAUAUGCUAUAUAAUCACAUUCUGAUGAUAGGUUAUACUAGAUGUCACCAAACAUUCUCAGUUCAUGGUAACCUUAGUGUCUUGGUAAUAUUUUCAUGAUGCCCCUAGGGCAAGAGAAUUACUUAACAGUUGCAGUUAUUCAGGAGUUAGGUUCAAACAACUUAAUAGUAGUAGUUUAGGCAGAUGUUUCUAACUUUCCUUUAAAUAUUUAAAAUAUCUCACAGAUUCCAAGUGAGUUUGUUGAAAGGUUCACACAGUUAACUUCAGCUCAGUUUAAAAACUGUAGGACUGUAUAGUUUUAAAUAGUAUAGAAAGUAAAAGGCAAAAUUUCGUACCUCCUAAGGGAAAGAAUAUUCCUAAUGCUAAUAGCCAUUUAAAGCUUUGUUUCUUUUAACACAUUUUAAUUAUUAGAGUUAUAAAAGUCAUCAUAUAUUGCACCACUAGAUAAGUGACAUUUAGCAUAGACUGCAUCAAUCAGUUGAUCAGUCAACAGGUAUUUAUAGAAUACCUAUUAUAUAUCCAAGUCAUUACUCUCAAAUAGCUUACAUCCUAUAAUUUAUCUAUAGAUAUACCUUAAUGUCAUGCUUUCUCAAACAGGGGUCUCAAAUGAUUACUGUCAUCUAAAUUUUUCUAUUUAUUAUAUUUAUUAUUAUUAUUAAUUAAUGUAUGAUUACAAUUUCUUGUGAUGGCUAAGAAAUUUUAUGAAAUUCUGAAAAUACAGUACUUUCUUUUUUUUAAGAUAUUAUUUAUUUAUUUGAAAGAAAAAGUGUACACACACACCAGUGGGGGAGGGGUAGAGGGAGAGGAGAAGCAGACUCCCUGCUAAGCAGGGAGCCCAAAGCAGGUCUAGAUUCCAAGACCUGCUUGGGAUCAUGGCCUGAGCUAAAGGCAAACACUUAACCAGCUGAGCCACCCAGGUGCCCUUGAAAAUACAAUACUUUCAACAUAAUGUCGUUCUCAUCUUAAGAGCACAGAUAGACGUC